rnacentral:rRNA from 1 species
CGGGUUGCUGCAGCAGUGGGGAAUAUUGCACAAUGGGCGCAAGCCUGAUGCAGCCAUGCCGCGUGUAUGAAGAAGGCCUUCGGGUUGUAAAGUACUUUCAGCGGGGAGGAAGGGAGUAAAGUUAAUACCUUUGCUCAUUGACGUUACCCGCAGAAGAAGCACCGGCUAACUCCGUGCCAGCAGCCGCGGUAAUACGGAGGGUGCAAGCGUUAAUCGGAAUUACCGGGCGUAAAGCGCACGCAGGCGGUUUGUUAAGUCAGAUGUGAAAUCCCCGGGCUCAACCUGGGAACUGCAUCUGAUACUGGCAAGCUUGAGUCUCGUAGAGGGGGGUAGAAUUCCAGGUGUAGCGGUGAAAUGCGUAGAGAUCUGGAGGAAUACCGGUGGCGAAGGCGGCCCCCUGGACGAAGACUGACGCUCAGGUGCGAAAGCGUGGGGAGCAAACAGGAUUAGAUACCCCCGUAGUC